UCCGGUUUGUCACCGGCAGUCUCCUAUGAGUCCCCAACUGAAUGCUGGCAACAUAGGACAAGGGUUGCGCUCGUUGCGGGACUUAACCCAACAUCUCACGACACGAGCUGACGACAGCCAUGCACCACCUGUGCACUGGUCCCGAAGGAGGGCCGUAUUUCUACGGAUUUCCAGUGCAUGUCAAGCCCUGGUAAGGUUCUUCGCGUUGCAUCGAAUUAAACCACAUGCUCCACCGCUUGUGCAGGCCCCCGUCAAUUUCUUUGAGUUUUAACCUUGCGGCCGUACUCCCCAGGCGGAUGACUUAACGCGUUAGCUGCGGCGCUGAAUGCGUCGAAGCACCCAGCACCUAGUACCCAUCGUUUACGGCUAGGACUAC
rnacentral:misc_RNA from 1 species